GUUGCUUCAUAAUGGUGAAAUCUCUCAAAAUUAAAUGAGAGAAUUUCAAGUUUCCGGAGCAUAGAUUCAGCAUUUUAUAUCGCCAGUAUUAAACAGCUCCAUGUGUGUACAAUUGCAUCGGUGUUACCUGUCUCCUGGCACAUUUCCUCAAUUAUAUGAUAUGAAUCAAUUGAUUAUUAUUAGGUAUAUCUUGUAAGUGAUGGAUGUGAUGAUUAUUUCCCCAGAUGAUCGACUCUGAAAUAACUGAGCGCUCAAUUUACGUUUCUCUUUUUGGAGAAACUCAAGCCAGAAUUCUGAUCCAUCUUAAAAAAUGUGUUUUUUUAAUUAUAAUUAGUGUUUGAUUUUUGUUAUUUGUUUCGAUAAUCAGAGAGUGGAAAUGAUGGUUAUUUCCCCAGAUGAUCGAAGUUGAUUAUACUGUGCGCAUUUUAUUAUAUUCUCUAUUAUUAUAUCAUAGAGAAUCCAAGCCAGAAAUCUGAUCCUA
rnacentral:lncRNA from 1 species